UAGAGUUUGAUCCUGGCUCAGAAUCAACGCUGGCGGCGUGCCUAACACAUGCAAGUCGAACGAGAAUGUGUAGCAAUACACAUGUAAAGUGGCGAACGGGUGAGGAAUACAUGGGUAACCUACCCUCGAGUGGGGAAUAACUAGCCGAAAGGUUAGCUAAUACCGCGUACGCUUCCUAAACUGCGGUUUGGGAAGGAAAGCGAUACCGUGGGUAUCGCGCUCUUGGAUGGGCUCAUGCCCUAUCAGCUUGUUGGUGAGGUAACGGCUCACCAAGGCUUCGACGGGUAGCUGAUCUGAGAGGAUGAUCAGCCACACUGGCACUGCGACACGGGCCAAACUCCUACGGGAGGCAGCAGUAAGGAAUAUUGCGCAAUGGGCGAAAGGCUGACGCAACGACGCCGCGUGGGGGAUGAAUGAUCAUUGGUUGACA
rnacentral:rRNA from 1 species